rnacentral:rRNA from 1 species
GAUGAACGCUGGCGGCGUGCUUAACACAUGCAAGUCGAACGGAAAGGCUCCUGCUUGCAGGGGUACUCGAGUGGCGAACGGGUGAGUAACACGUGGGUGAUCUGCCCUGCACUUCGGGAUAAGCCUAGGAAACUGGGUCUAAUACCGGAUAGGACGAUGGUUUGGAUGCCAUUGUGGAAAGUUUUUUCGGUGUGGGAUGAGCUCGCGGCCUAUCAGCUUGUUGGUGGGGUAAUGGCCUACCAAGGCGUCGACGGGUAGCCGGCCUGAGAGGGUGUACGGCCACAUUGGGACCGAGAUACGGCCCAGACUCCUACGGGAGGCAGCAGUGGGGAAUAUUGCACAAUGGGCGCAAGCCUGAUGCAGCGACGCCGCGUGGGGGAUGACGGCCUUCGGGUUGUAAACUCCUUUCGCUAGGGACGAAGCGCAAGUGACGGUACCUGGAGAAGAAGCACCGGCUAACUACGU